AGGCAGUGCGAUGAUUUGUGUCAUUGGUCUCGUUCGUCUUAAUGGCAUACUGCAUAGUGUGCCUUGAUGACCAUCCUGAUAUAUCACCACCACCCAUAUUCUGAGUCC